GAGACUUUUGCUUUUGUCCGAGUAGUCUGUUUCACAACAGAUCUGGGGUUCAUGCAUGUCACUAUUGAGGGGGACCCUUUGGCGGUGGUUAAGAAAGCCAAUUCCUUGCAUGAUGACAAAUCAGAAAUUGCGAUGCUUAUUAAAGAAGGAACAUACAAGCUUAGAAAUUGUUUUACUGAUACUAUUAUUCAACAUUGUUUUCAAUAGGGUAAUAGAGUUGCUCGCCAUCUUGCUGCCAUAGGUGUCGCUCGAUCAGUUCAGGGUGGAGGUUCACCGGAUUUUAUUCUGCUUCUGGGAUGCUUCUCCUCUGGCUCUCGCUCACUACAAGACUUUUCCAAUUCAUGAGAGUUUGGCUGGUUUUUCUUUGGUUUCAGUUUCAUGUUCGGAAGGGUCUUUUGUUUUCGUUGCGUUCUUCAUGUUUUGUCUUUUGGUUUGCUUUUGUUUGCUUUGUUUUUUGGUGUGUUGUUGGUUUGACUUUUAUUUGCUUUUAGUUUUGCUUUAAA